rnacentral:lncRNA from 1 species
GAUUGGGGAGAGAACGGUUAUCUGAGGAUGGAACGCGGAAUUUCCUCAAAGACAGGCAUAUGUGGAAUUGCUAUUGAACCAUCUUACCCUGUGAAGACUGGCGUGAACCCUCCAAACCCUGGUCCAUCUCCUCCAACACCUAAGACACCUGAAAGUGUUUGUGAUGAAUACUAUACUUGUCCGAUGAGUACCACCUGCUGCUGCAUGUAUGAGUAUUACGGCUACUGCUUUGCCUGGGGUUGUUGCCCUCUCGAGGGGGCUUCCUGUUGUGAUGAUGGUUACAGUUGCUGUCCUCAUGAUUACCCAGUCUGCAAUGUCCGUGCAGGAACCUGCUCGAUGGUAAUAAGAACUAUUUAUUUAUCUUUUAGUCAAAAUCAUGUUUCAUCGAUUUAUGAAAUACCAUAAUUACUGCUAUUUUAAAAAAAAAAUAGUGUGUUUGAUCAAGAUUCUUUCUUUUCUUGCUG